UACGAAGGGGGCUAGCGUUGUUCGGAAUUACUGGGCGUAAAGCGUAUGUAGGCGGAUCGUUAAGUCGGGGGUGAAAUCCCGAGGCUCAACCUCGGAACUGCCUUCGAUACUGGCGAUCUUCGAGUCCGGGAGAGGUGAGUGGAACUCCGAGUGUAGAGGUGAAAUUCGUAGAUAUUCGGAAGAACACCGGUGGCGAAGGCGGCUCACUGGACCGACAUUGACGCUGAGGCGCGAAAGCCAGGGGAGCAAACGGG
rnacentral:rRNA from 1 species